UACGUAGGGUGCAAGCGUUAUCCGGCAUUAUUGGGCGUAAAGAGCUCGUAGGCGGUGUGUCACGUCGGCCGUGAAAACCUGCAGCUUAACUGUGGGCGUGCGGUCGAUACGGGCAUCACUGGAGUUCGGCAGGGGAGACUGGAAUUCCUGGUGUAGCGGUGAAAUGCGCAGAUAUCAGGAGGAACACCGGUGGCGAAGGCGGAUCUCUGGGCCUGUCCUGACGCUGAGGCGCGAAAGCUAGGGGAGCGAACAGG
rnacentral:rRNA from 1 species